AAAGUACUGAUUGGAGAAACAUUUGUUUUCUCUAUAGCUGGUUGGUGUUAGGAGUGUUUUCCCACCCAGAGAUGUGGUCACGUGAUCUGUCAACUUUCACACAGGAAGUCUCCCUACUGACUUUCCCCUUAGCAACCAAGUCGCGGCGCUUGGUUCCCCAGCAACCGGGAGACGCGUCUGCUGCGUGGAACCAACCGAGUUCUCAACGCUUGAGAAGGUGAGACCUGGGAGCUGAGGCUCCGGGAGGACUCACAGGGACAGAUAGUGCCCGACUUAACUCACUCCUGUGACCUUUUUGUCUGAGAACGCCGGCCUGGCCCGUCUCAUUUAUAAAUUGAGCAAGAAAAUUCUAGAUCUGUUCUCUGCGAGGAGGCCACUCCGUUGACAAUUGUGUAAAACUCUGCUGCUUUCCCCGGCUCCUACGUCUCUGGUCUUCAACAACACUAUCAUCAGGGAAAACAUCGGGGAAAAUGAACCGGCUAUACGACUCGAUGGAGCCAAGGGUGAUAGACGAUGACAUGCUCAAGCUGGCUGUUGGGGAGCAGAGCUCCCAGGAGGAGACCGGGGAGCUUGCCAAGCAGGAGGGCAUUCUCUUCAAGGAUGUCCUGUCCCUGCAGCUGGACUUUCGGAAUAUCCUCCACAUAGACAACCUCUGGCAGUUUGAGAACUUGAGGAAGCUGCAGCUGGACAAUAAUGUCAUUGAGAAGAUUGAGGGCCUGGAGAACCUCACACACCUGGUCUGGCUGGAUCUGUCCUUCAACAACAUUGAGACCAUUGAGGGGCUGGACACACUGGUGAACCUGGAGGACCUGAGCUUAUUCAACAACCGCAUCUCCAAUAUUGACUCCCUGGACGCCCUUGUCAAGCUGCAGGUGUUGUCGCUAGGCAACAACCAGAUUGACAACAUGAUGAACAUCAUCUACCUGCGGCAGUUCAGGUGCCUGCGGAUGCUCAGCCUCUCUGGGAACCCUAUCUCUGAGGUGGAGGAUUACAAGAUGUUCAUCUGUGCCUACCUUCCUGACCUUGUGUACCUGGACUUCCGGCGCAUUGACGACCACACAAAAGAGGUUGCGGAGGCUAAGCACCACUACAGCAUUGAAGAGCUGAAGCACCGGGAGAACCUGAUGCAGGCCCGGCUGGAGGAGGAGCAAGUGCGCCGGGAGGAGCUGGAGAGGCACAAGACGGCAUUUGUGGAGCACCUGAAUGGCUCCUUCCUGUUUGAUAGCAUGUACGCUGAGGACUCAGAGGGCAACAAGCUGUCCUCCCUGCCUGGUGUCAGUGAGCUCCUUGAGGCAUAUCCUUCCAAGGACAAGUUUGUCAUCAUCUGUGUGAACAUUUUUGAGUAUGGCCUGAAACAGCAGGAGAAGUGGAAAACAGAGCUUGACACCUUCAAUGAAUGUGUCCACGAGGCCAUCCAGGAAAACCAGGAGCAGGGCAAACGCAAGAUUGCCAAAUUCAAGGAGAAGCACUUGAUGAGUUUAAGUGCCAUUCGAGAGGAGUUGGAGAUGCCCAACAUUGAGAAGAUGAUCCUGGAAUGCAGCACUGACAUCAGUGAGUUGUUUGAUGCCCUCAUGAUGCUGGAGAUGCAGCUGGUGGAGCAGCUGGAGGAGACUAUAAGCAUGUUUGAAAGAAACAUUGUCAAUUUGGUGGGACUCUUUAUCGAAAAUGUCCAAAGCCUAUAUCCUUUCUGUGAUGACCUCCUGCCAUGGGGAAGAACUACAGAGCCCAUGGGGUUGUCCUGGCUUCUGGAGGAACUGGGGAAGAGGCACCUGAAUUUUUAAAUUUUAUUUAUUUUAUCUUUUUUCCAUUUUUUUUAAAUUGCAUUUUAGGUUUUGGGGUACAUGUGCAGCAAUCAAAAAUGAUGAGGCACCUGAAUUUUUAACAAAAGCUAGGGAAGAGUAAAGCUUCUUUGCAAACUAAGAGGAUACAAAAAGUGGGGUCCUCUUCCAGGUGGCCAUCUGCAGAGACACUCCCAUACCCCCUGCUUCCCCCAGUGCUCCGAACACAAUGGCAGAGAUAGUAAAAAGUCAGUGCUCUCUAGUCAUACUUCACUUUUUACCAGAAAUACCUAAUCUUGGUUUGAUUUACAGAAAGAUCUGCAUCUAUGCCAAGAUAUUUAAAUUCAUCACAGGAUCCUAUUUAGUGGGAAUCCUCCUUCACUUCUAAAUUAGAGGAAUGUAAAAACUCCAGUUUUUCACCAAGAAAAAAGCUCACCUUCAAAGGCUGUAGAUUUGGCAACCACUUAGCAUGUUCAAAAGAAUGUUCCACAGGGUCUGAGAGGUUUUCCCGACUUUCAGAACAAUGAUGGCCUGGUUAGAGCUGUGGUUUGGAUGCUCAGAGGGACUUCUGUGCAGGGACUGGCUGUUUGUAGUAGAGUCCCAGCAUGAUUGUUCUCAUAUGGGUUAUGUUCACUGGGAGAUGAUGCCCCCUGUGUUGUGGGCAACCCCUACAUGGAAGACACUAUAAGGAGUGUGUCAGGUGAAAUGUUAAGAUGAGGAGCCAACAUUAGAGCAUGGCUAACCUUCUUCCACUGGAACUCAGGUACUCCACAUGGGGCAAACUGCUGUGAUCGAGCUAGAAGCAGCCCUCUGGUCUUGCCCUCCUGGGGCUCACAGUCCCUCAGGGAGACAAGUUAUAGAGGCAUCAAGUGGUACCAAAUGCACAGGGUAAGAAGCAGUUAACCCAGAGGCCAACGCCAACAGCCUCCUUGCAGGAGGGAGAGAAGGGGUGUGAUGGUAGGGGCCGAGGGUCCGUUGGUGAUGACCAGGUGUGGGGCAGAGGUGGGAGUCUGGGAUGGCCCAGAGUUUGGUGCUUGUGGGUGGACGGUGCUGCCAGCCAGAAUCUCCGAGCUCACCUUGGGCCCUUAAAUUCUGUCCCUGGCCCUCUGAGCGUGUCAGGGACACCCCAGGCCUGCUCCUCCCUGGCCUGCUCCUCCUCCCUGGCCUUUGCUUAACUCGUGGCUGCACGAUGGCCCAGUGCCGGGACCUGGAGAACCACCACCAUGAGAAGCUCCUGGAGAUCUCUAUCAGCACCCUGGAGAAGGCUGUCAAGGGCGACCUGGACGAGGACCUGUCUGAGGAUGUGCGCGCGCUUUUUGUUGAUAAGGAUACGAUUGUUAAUGCUGUCGGGGCAUCGCAUGACAUCCACCUCCUGAAGAUUGACAAUCGAGAAGAUGAACUGGUGACCAGAAUCAACUCCUGGUGUACACGUUUAGUAGACAAGAUUCACAGGGAUGAGAUCAUGAGGAACCGCAAGCGCGUGAAGGAGAUCAGUCUGUACAUCGACCACAUGAAGAGUGAACUGGACAACCUCGAAUACAGUGACAUCCUAGACUAGAUGAGUGUCAGCCACAGGGGCUUCUUCAAAACAAAGCGCCAGCCCCAACUAGGAGAAGGAAGUGCACAUGCCUCACCAAGCAUCAUCGGGAGAGUUGCUGGCAUCUCUCAACCACGAUCCCCAACACCAUUCUUCCCCCAGCCCUGGAAGAACUUCCAAACGUAGAGAAAAUAAAGGAUUCAUGUCACGUUUCCCCUAUUC